GGCUGAGGGCGCUGCCAGGCCGAGCAGCCCAGCCGCCGCCUCGCAAAUUCGGGGGCCGAAGCAUCUCUGCCAGCAGCUUCUCUCGCCCACUUGCAUCCCACCGACACGACUUUCAGGGCCCGUGCGAAGCGUGGCACGACAAAUGGUGUUUCCUCCCCUUGUGCCCUCCCUUAGCCCCUCCACAAGAGGCACAAGGCAGCGCCUGCUGAGGGUGCUGUAAAUCAGGCUCAGGGCAUUGGCUGGCCGGGGGGGCUAUUAUCAAAGCGGUGGCUCUGAUCCAGACUCCAUUAAAAUCAUCAUCUUCUGAAAUCCCGACUUCUGCCUGUCUUUGCAGGUAUUUUCAGUCUGUGGGGAAAGCCCCGGCAACAUUUACAUGCACAUUUUUGACCUCUCUAGUGCAAGGCACAAGAGCACCUCACUACAAUUUGGUAUGGUUGUAUUUCUGUGAGGGCUCAUUUUCAAAAUUUGUUCAAAGAACCAAUAACUCCCCCCCAAAAAAACUCAAUUGGUCAACCAGAGGUUGUUAAAUGUUAAUUUCCAACACAGCCAUCAUCUUUUGACAAGACCAGCUACAAAUUCCAAUGAACACAGAAACCAAACCUCCCACCUGGGGCUGGGCAGAGAUGGUUUGGAAAUGUUCAUUUCUUUGUUACUGAAGGCAGUUUCUGUGUUUCCUUCUGCACCAUAACAACCCCUGCUCUCUAUCCACAAAAAACAUUUGAAGCAAAUAUACCUUUUUUCUGCUCAUCAAUAUCACCUCCCAUAUAAGACAGGAUAGGGAGCAGCCCAAAUUUUGAAGUGAGGAAUGUUCCGGAUGGAUGGAUGGAUGAACGGAUGGAUGAGAGAUACAAGACCACUGGAGCCCCAGUGGCCAUCUAAGGCUGUGUGCUUGCAGAAGAAAUACAGAGACCAAUCUGUUCAUGAACCAGCCACACGAUUUUCAAGCUGGCAGAUAAACUUGAAAAUAAGCCAACUUGCACAAGCCUGAAUCCUGCAGGGAACAGUAAGAAGCAAUGUCAGCGUCAGGAUCUGAGCAAGGUAUUCCAAGAAUCCUGCUUCAUGACUUGGAGGAUUUCUCAGGGCUGAUCUCCACAUUCAUCCUGCUCUCUGCUGCUGGUGACUGGGAGAGAAGCAAACUGCAGUACUGGGCCUGAGCACGCCUGGCAUUGGCAGCAGGGCACUUCCACAGCCAGGGAGUGCUCAGAAGAGCUCUCUAUUCAUCUCUGAGACUUUGGUUUCACUUCUCUGCCUUGCAGCUCUGCACAAGCAGCUGGGUAGUGCAUCAGCUCUCUGGUCCUUAUCUGCCCUCUCUCACACCUGGAAAUGCAGCAGCCUUUCCCAAGCCAAAAUGCAAAAUGCUGGGAUUUAUCUGCUGUAUCAUAGAAAAAGUGUGACAUGAAGGCAGGUUAUGUGCCUGGUCCCACUGGUCCCAGCUCCUCUACACCAGACAAGAUAUUUCUGUUUAGUACAAAAGGCAAACUGGGAAGUCAGCCUGUGAGCGAUCCUGUCUUUCCCCCACCACAAAGCUGGUAAGAAGGCACACUGUGAAAAAUAAAUUAGUUAUUGUUGGGGUUUUUUUGUUUUGUUUUGUUUUUGGGGUUUUUUUAAGGGAGCCAUUUAACAUACAGUCAACUUGUAUCACAAAAUAAAGUUGUUAUGAGAAAAAUUACAGAGGAGAAUUUAUUCACCCGGGAUCAGAAGCUUGGAAAUUCCAGGUGCCUGCAGGACAGCCACCAUUUUGUACAACAGAAGUGAAGCAUUGGAUAUUACCCAUGCUUAUGCUAUUUUUGUAGCAUUUUUUGUAGUAUUUUUCAAAAUACUUUGCUUUUUUUCCCCCACGAUUUUCUCUAAUCUAAAAUAAAGUAACUUUGCUGAAAAGGCUACAGUCAAGCAAAACUCUGUCUCUAU